CAUAGGUUAAUGAGGCGAACCGGGGGAACUGAAACAUCUAAGUACCCCGAGGAAAAGAAAUCAACCGAGAUUCCCCCAGUAGCGGCGAGCGAACGGGGAGGAGCCCAGAGCCUGAAUCAGUGUGUGUGUUAGUGGAAGCGUCUGGAAAGGCGCGCGAUACAGGGUGACAGCCCCGUACACAAAAAUGCACAUAUUGUGAGCUCGAUGAGUAGGGCGGGACACGUGGUAUCCUGUCUGAAUAUGGGGGGACCAUCCUCCAAGGCUAAAUACUCCUGACUGACCGAUAGUGAACCAGUACCGUGAGGGAAAGGCGAAAAGAACCCCGGCGAGGGGAGUGAAAAAGAACCUGAAACCGUGUACGUACAAGCAGUGGGAGCCUCUUAAUGGGGUGACUGCGUACCUUUUGUAUAAUGGGUCAGCGACUUAUAUUCUGUAGCAAGGUUAACCGAAUAGGGGAGCCGAAGGGAAACCGAGUCUUAACUGGGCGUUAAGUUGCAGGGUAUAGACCCGAAACCCGGUGAUCUAGCCAUGGGCAGGUUGAAGGUUGGGUAACACUAACUGGAGGACCGAACCGACUAAUGUUGAAAAAUUAGCGGAUGACUUGUGGCUGGGGGUGAAAGGCCAAUCAAACCGGGAGAUAGCUGGUUCUCCCCGAAAGCUAUUUAGGUAGCGCCUCGUGAAUUCAUCUCCGGGGGUAGAGCACUGUUUCGGCAAGGGGGUCAUCCCGACUUACCAACCCGAUGCAAACUGCGAAUACCGGAGAAUGUUAUCACGGGAGACACACGGCGGGUGCUAACGUCCGUCGUGAAGAGGGAAACAACCCAGACCGCCAGCUAAGGUCCCAAAGUCAUGGUUAAGUGGGAAACGAUGUGGGAAGGCCCAGACAGCCAGGAUGUUGGCUUAGAAGCAGCCAUCAUUUAAAGAAAGCGUAAUAGCUCACUGGUCGAGUCGGCCUGCGCGGAAGAUGUAACGGGGCUAAACCAUGCACCGAAGCUGCGGCAGCGACACUAUGUGUUGUUGGGUAGGGGAGCGUUCUGUAAGCCUGUGAAGGUGGCCUGUGAGGGUUGCUGGAGGUAUCAGAAGUGCGAAUGCUGACAUAAGUAACGAUAAAGCGGGUGAAAAGCCCGCUCGCCGGAAGACCAAGGGUUCCUGUCCAACGUUAAUCGGGGCAGGGUGAGUCGACCCCUAAGGCGAGGCCGAAAGGCGUAGUCGAUGGGAAACAGGUUAAUAUUCCUGUACUUGGUGUUACUGCGAAGGGGGGACGGAGAAGGCUAUGUUGGCCGGGCGACGGUUGUCCCGGUUUAAGCGUGUAGGCUGGUUUUCCAGGCAAAUCCGGAAAAUCAAGGCUGAGGCGUGAUGACGAGGCACUACGGUGCUGAAGCGACAAAUGCCCUGCUUCCAGGAAAAGCCUCUAAGCAUCAGGUAACAUCAAAUCGUACCCCAAACCGACACAGGUGGUCAGGUAGAGAAUACCAAGGCGCUUGAGAGAACUCGGGUGAAGGAACUAGGCAAAAUGGUGCCGUAACUUCGGGAGAAGGCACGCUGAUAUGUAGGUGAAGCGACUUGCUCGUGGAGCUGAAAUCAGUCGAAGAUACCAGCUGGCUGCAACUGUUUAUUAAAAACACAGCACUGUGCAAACACGAAAGUGGACGUAUACGGUGUGACGCCUGCCCGGUGCCGGAAGGUUAAUUGAUGGGGUUAGCGGUAACGCGAAGCUCUUGAUCGAAGCCCCGGUAAACGGCGGCCGUAACUAUAACGGUCCUAAGGUAGCGAAAUUCCUUGUCGGGUAAGUUCCGACCUGCACGAAUGGCGUAAUGAUGGCCAGGCUGUCUCCACCCGAGACUCAGUGAAAUUGAACUCGCUGUGAAGAUGCAGUGUACCCGCGGCAAGACGGAAAGACCCCGUGAACCUUUACUAUAGCUUGACACUGAACAUUGAGCCUUGAUGUGUAGGAUAGGUGGGAGGCUUUGAAGUGUGGACGCCAGUCUGCAUGGAGCCGACCUUGAAAUACCACCCUUUAAUGUUUGAUGUUCUAACGUGGGCCCCUUACCGGGGUUGCGGACAGUGUCUGGUGGGUAGUUUGACUGGGGCGGUCUCCUCCUAAAGAGUAACGGAGGAGCACGAAGGUUGGCUAAUCCUGGUCGGACAUCAGGAGGUUAGUGCAAUGGCAUAAGCCAGCUUGACUGCGAGCGUGACGGCGCGAGCAGGUGCGAAAGCAGGUCAUAGUGAUCCGGUGGUUCUGAAUGGAAGGGCCAUCGCUCAACGGAUAAAAGGUACUCCGGGGAUAACAGGCUGAUACCGCCCAAGAGUUCAUAUCGACGGCGGUGUUUGGCACCUCGAUGUCGGCUCAUCACAUCCUGGGGCUGAAGUAGGUCCCAAGGGUAUGGCUGUUCGCCAUUUAAAGUGGUACGCGAGCUGGGUUUAGAACGUCGUGAGACAGUUCGGUCCCUAUCUGCCGUGGGCGCUGGAGAACUGAGGGGGGCUGCUCCUAGUACGAGAGGACCGGAGUGGACGCAUCACUGGUGUUCGGGUUGUCAUGCCAAUGGCACUGCCCGGUAGCUAAAUGCGGAAGAGAUAAGUGCUGAAAGCAUCUAAGCACGAAACUUGCCCCGAGAUGAGUUCUCCCUGACUCCUUGAGAGUCCUGAAGGAACGUUGAAGACGACGACGUUGAUAGGCCGGGUGUGUAAGCGCAGCGAUGCGUUGAGCUAACCGGUACUAAUGAACCGUGAGGCUUAACCUU
rnacentral:rRNA from 1 species